GGGUGUAUGGCUCAGUGGUAGAGUGCAUGCUUAGCAAGGAGGAGGUCUUGGGUUCUAUCCCCAGUACUUUCA
rnacentral:tRNA from 1 species